AGUCUUCGGGCCAGAAGGAUGUGAAAAGGAUUUAGGCGGUUUUAGAGAAGAUGCAAAAUCCAAGUUUGUGUCGCUGUGCAUAUUUAUGCUGAGGAUUCUGUUCUUCAAGACCAUCAUAUUCAACGUCCUGAUGACCUUUAAAGUGUGGUUGGGCUAAGACAGAAUCAACAACAACAAGAACUCCAGAUCCUGUCAGCACGUUCUGGAACCGGUCCGUCAGCCUCGACUGUGAGAAAGAAGAUAAAGAACGCUGUUAAUCAUUAAUGCAUGUUAACGCAACUUAUAAUAUACUCAGCUGUAUUAUACUGCAUUUAUAUCCACAAAUAUUCUCAAGAUCAAUAGGCUUUGGCUUAAUUAAUUCAUUUAUAACUGCUAUGAUUAUGUAGACUAUUAUUUUUAUUUUUAUCAUUUAUGUGCUAUACUAUUAUUGUAAUUUUUAAUAUCUUUUUUU